rnacentral:rRNA from 1 species
AACGAACGCUGGCGGCAUGCCUAACACAUGCAAGUCGAACGAGACCUUCGGGUCUAGUGGCGCACGGGUGCGUAACGCGUGGGAACCUGCCUUUAGGUUCGGAAUAACAGUGAGAAAUUACUGCUAAUACCGGAUGAUGUCUUCGGACCAAAGAUUUAUCGCCUUUAGAUGGGCCCGCGUUGGAUUAGCUAGUUGGUGGGGUAAAGGCCUACCAAGGCGACGAUCCAUAGCUGGUCUGAGAGGAUGAUCAGCCACACUGGGACUGAGACACGGCCCAGACUCCUACGGGAGCAGCAGUGGGGAAUAUUGGACAAUGGGCGAAAGCCUGAUCCAGCCAUGCCGCGUGCAGGAUGAAGG